rnacentral:rRNA from 1 species
UAGAGUUUGAUCCUGGCUCAGAUUGAACGCUGGCGGUAUGCUUAACACAUGCAAGUCGAACGGUAACAGGCCUUCGGGCGCUGACGAGUGGCGGACGGGUGAGUAACGCGUAGGAAUCUGCCUCAUAGUGGGGGACAACGUGGGGAAACUCACGCUAAUACCGCAUACGCCCUACGGGGGAAAGCGGGGGAUCUUCGGACCUCGCGCUAUGAGAUGAGCCUGCGUUAGAUUAGCUAGUUGGUAGGGUAAAGGCCUACCAAGGCGACGAUCUAUAGCUGGUCUGAGAGGACGAUCAGCCACACUGGGACUGAGACACGGCCCAGACUCCUACGGGAGGCAGCAGUGGGGAAUAUUGGACAAUGGGCGCAAGCCUGAUCCAGCAAUACCGCGUGUGUGAAGAAGGCCUUCGGGUUGUAAAGCACUUUCAAUGGGGAGGAAAACCUGCCGGUCAAUACCCGGUAGCUUGACAUUACCCAUAGAAGAAGCACCAGCUAACUCCGUGCCAGCAGCCGCGGUAAUACGGAGGGUGCAAGCGUUAAUCGGAAUUACUGGGCGUAAAGCGUGCGUAGGCGGUUCGUUAAGUCAGAUGUGAAAGCCCCGGGCUCAACCUGGGAACUGCAUUUGAAACUGGCGAACUCGAGUUGAGUAGAGGGGAGUGGAAUUUCAGGUGUAGCGGUGAAAUGCGUAGAUAUCUGAAGGAACACCAGUGGCGAAGGCGACUCCCUGGACUCAAACUGACGCUGAGGUACGAAAGCGUGGGUAGCAAACAGGAUUAGAUACCCUGGUAGUCCACGCUGUAAACGAUGAGAACUAGCCGUUGGGCACAAUUUGGUGUUUAGUGGCGCAGCUAACGCGAUAAGUUCUCCGCCUGGGGAGUACGGCCGCAAGGUUAAAACUCAAAGGAAUUGACGGA